GGCUUUAUAUUCAACUAUGAUUUUAAAUUGCAAAUUUAAAGGUAAAGGGUAUCUUUUAAAGCUU
rnacentral:tRNA from 1 species